rnacentral:rRNA from 1 species
UAGCACAGAGAGCUUGCUCUCGGGUGACGAGCGGCGGACGGGUGAGUAAUGUCUGGGAAACUGCCUGAUGGAGGGGGAUAACUACUGGAAACGGUAGCUAAUACCGCAUAACGUCGCAAGACCAAAGUGGGGGACCUUCGGGCCUCAUGCCAUCAGAUGUGCCCAGAUGGGAUUAGCUAGUAGGUGGGGUAACGGCUCACCUAGGCGACGAUCCCUAGCUGGUCUGAGAGGAUGACCAGCCACACUGGAACUGAGACACGGUCCAGACUCCUACGGGAGGCAGCAGUGGGGAAUAUUGCACAAUGGGCGCAAGCCUGAUGCAGCCAUGCCGCGUGUGUGAAGAAGGCCUUCGGGUUGUAAAGCACUUUCAGCGGGGAGGAAGGCGGUAAGGUUAAUAACCUUGUCGAUUGACGUUACCCGCAGAAGAAGCACCGGCUAACUCCGUGCCAGCAGCCGCGGUAAUACGGAGGGUGCAAGCGUUAAUCGGAAUUACUGGGCGUAAAGCGCACGCAGGCGGUCUGUCAAGUCGGAUGUGAAAUCCCCGGGCUCAACCUGGGAACUGCAUUCGAAACUGGCAGGCUAGAGUCUUGUAGAGGGGGGUAGAAUUCCAGGUGUAGCGGUGAAAUGCGUAGAGAUCUGGAGGAAUACCGGUGGCGAAGGCGGCCCCCUGGACAAAGACUGACG